rnacentral:lncRNA from 10 species
UCUUGAACUCCUAACCUCAAAUGAUCCACUGCCUCGGCCUCCCAAAGUGCUGGGAUUACAGGCGUGAGCCACCGUGCCUGGCCAUAAUUAUAAUUUUUAAUGUGUCUUUUUAAUUGGUAUGUUAAAUAGUGCUAAGUUUCAAUAUUCUUUUUAGCCCCAUGGGGGUAAGAUGUAGAAGUACUGGAGUGGAAAUAAAGACAAUAAUUACAGACUAUAAAUCUGUUUUAGAGCUUACCAGAGGUUGCAUUAAAGUGUAAUUUAGAACUUACUAGAUUUAAAAGAAAAAACAUAAUUUUUUUUAAAAAGCAUUCUUGUAAUUUAAAAACAAUUUAUUAUUUUGGGGGGAUGAAAAAAUAGAUGUGGAACUAUUAGAAGUAUGGACAAAACAAUUUCACAUUCUCAAAUAGUUCUAAGGAGUAUAAAUAAAUAUGUGACAAAUCAUGUCACAUUUGUAAAAAAUUUAAGAACUCUUAUUUUAUCAUAUAAGUAAAUAUUAGUAUGACAAUAGACCAUUAUUGGUAAACUACUUCUCAGUUUAUUUUAGCCAGGUACAAUAUUUCUUGCUAUGAAAUGUAAAUAUUAAACAUUUCUCUCUUUUAGGAUAAUGUGUUUCCGGUGCUCAUCAUUUUCACUCCAAACAACCAAUACUUUUUCACAACUAAUUUGAUCAUCUGGAGAAAUAUAGCUAAAAGAUAAAGGGAAAAUGCCCUUUACUGUAAGACAUGUUUGUGGAAAAAUUAACCAAAAGAAGCCUCUAAUUUGGACCUUACUUUCUUCUUAUAAAAUUAAACGAUAGCAAAAUAGAUUGUGUAUAUGUUACGUUUGGCAAAAGAAAAAAAAUGAAUGAUUUUGUACAAGGUUGGUUCAGUUGGUCACGUGAAUCUCGGACUAUUGAGACUCUUUAUUUGAUUGAUUAAUGUGUAUUUGGUGUCAACCUCAUAAUUACAAGAGCAAUGGGUGACUAUGUCAAUCUUAGUUUAUUUUCUAAAAUUUGAGGUAAUUUGAAUAAAUUUUUGUUUUCAUGUGAGUCAUCUGGGUAUUAUUUUUUAUUGGGUAUACUUAGAAGGAUUAUUAUUUGAAGUAAAACUGCAUGCUGACAAUUUAUAGUGAGGA